rnacentral:rRNA from 1 species
AGAGUUUGAUCCUGGCUCAGGAUUAACGCUAGCGGGAUGCAUAACACAUGCAAGUCGAGCGAUUCACCUUCGGGUGAAAGCGGCGAACGGGUGAGUAACACGUUGGUAACCUGCCCCAGAGUGAGGGAUAGCCCAUCGAAAGGUGGAUUAAUACCGCAUAAUCUCCUUAUUACAUAAGUAAUUUGGAGCAAAGUCUUCGGACGCUUUGGGAGGGGCCUGCGGCUUAUCAGCUAGUUGGUGAGGUAAUAGCUCACCAAGGCGAUGACGAGUAGCUGGUGUGAGAGCAUGACCAGCCACAAUGGGACUGAGACACGGCCCAUACUCCUACGGGAGGCAGCAGUGAGGAAUUUUCCGCAAUGGGCGAAAGCCUGACGGAGCAAUCCCGCGUGAGGGACGACGGCCUUUUGGUUGUAAACCUCUUUUCUGAAGGAGCAAGUUCUGAGUUAACUUCAGGAAUAAGCGUCGGCUAACUACGUGCCAGCAGCCGCGGUAAUACGUAGGACGCAAGCGUUAUCCGGAAUUACUGGGCGUAAAGAGUUCGUAGGUGUUUUGGAAAGUCCGGUGUUAAAACUUUGGGCUCAACUCAAAGAAUGUACUGGAAACUUCCAAAAUAGAGGGGCGCAGAGGCUAGUGGAAUGCCGCGUGUAGGGGUAAAAUCCGUAGAUACGCGGUGGAACACCAAAAGCGAAGGCAGCUAGCUGGGCGCAUCCUGACACUGAGGAACGAAAGCGUGGGUAGCGAACGGGAUUAGAUACCCCGGUAGUCCACGCCGUAAACGAUGGAUACUCGGUGUUGGUCUGCUUGCAGAUCAGUGCCCAAGGAAACCCAUUAAGUAUCCCGCCUGGGGAGUACGGUCGCAAGAUUAAAACUCAAAGGAAUAGACGGGGCCUCACACAAGCGGUGGAGCAUGUUGUUUAAUUCGAUAAUAACCGAGGAACCUUACCUGGGCUUGACAUCCCAAGAAUCCUCUAGAAAUAGAGGAGUGCCGCAAGGAACUUGGUGUCAGGUGCUGCAUGGUUGUCGUCAGCUCGUGCCUUGAGGUGUGCUGUUAAGUCAGUCAACGAGCGCAACCCUUAUCCUGAUUUGCAUAUGUAUCAGGAGACUGCCGGCUCCAAGUCGGAGGAAGGUAGGGAUGACGUCAAAUCAGCAUGGCCCUUAUGCCCAGGGCUACAAACGUGCUACAAUGGGGUGUACAAAGGGUAGCGAAGUCGCGAGAUGGAGCUAAUCCCAUCAAAGCAUCUCUUAGUUCGGAUUGAAGGCUGCAAUUCGCCUUCAUGAAGUUGGAAUCGCUAGUAACCGUAAAUCAGCUAUGUUACGGUGAAUAUGUUCCUGAGGCUUGUACUCACCGCCCGUCACACUAUGAGAGGCAGGGGCAUCCGAAGUCGGUUUACCCAAGGCUUGCCAGGGGGCUGCCUAAGAUGAAACUGCUGAUUGGAGUGAAGUCGUAACAAGGUA